CUCUUGUAAAUUGACGCCAUUGCAACGCCUAUUAAGGGAAUAUAAAAUCAUUUUGCGUUCCUCUCUUUCCUUGGAUUCCAUUACUUACCAUGUUGUUCCUGGUGAUAUCAGUUCUGCUUCUGGGAGCAACUACUGCUCAGUCUGGUAUCUGUAGUUCUCCCAACACUGUUGGAAGAAUAUAUAUGGACCCUGGUGAUUGCACUUAUUAUUAUCAGUGUGCUAAUGGUAAAGAUCACAGAAUCUACCCAUGUUCUGCAGAAGAAGUAUUUGAUCCAUGGCGGUGGGUUUGCGUCCCUAAUACGGAACCAAUUAACUGCACCUUAAACUACAAUUACUUCGAUCAGUUAUGUAGUGACACGGUUGCCGGAACAGUGGCUUACCCGGACGAUUGUGCCAAAUAUUUGUCCUGUUGGGAAAGGUUUUUUAUAUUUCCACCAAGGAUAUGUGGCCAUGGAACUUUAUAUAAUGAAGUUGAACAAAGAUGUGACAAUAUUAAUGAUGAUAGUGGACAGUGUGGUAAUAGGCCUUUCAGCGCUAGAACUUACAACACGGAACCAUGUGUGUAUAGACCAAUGCCAGGUGACUGUAACAAAUACUGUGACUGUAAAAACAAAGAUGACUGUCGAGCUUGUGGUAAAGGUACUUACAUGUCCGAAUCUAAAAAUGCAUGUGUUUUGCGUUCAGGUCUUACUUAUAGUGAGAAAGAAUAUUGUAAUUUAACAUAAUAAGCAUCACAGUUUGUUUAUUUAAUGGUUGUAAACUUUUAAUUUUGUCAUUUAAUAAAAUAAUGUGCCCGAGACGUCUUUCUAAAUGCUGUAUAAGAAACGAUCGAAAUGCCUAAUCAAUAUCUAUGUUCAUUUCUAAAAAUC